rnacentral:rRNA from 1 species
CGCGACCUCAGGUCAGGCGG